ensembl:lncRNA
GUUAAAACUAACAACAACUCUGGAAAUUAUGUUGAAUAUUAGAGGAAACUCGGCCGAACCAUAUUUAAUUGCACCUGUGGAUCAUGUGACCAUCGAAUCAUGUGACCAUCGAUCCGCAAGAUGCAUCCGGGUCACGUGACCAAUCGGCAGGCGGCAGGUAACGUCCUACUUCUGAGGGCGUGUCUCCAUGGAUGCCUGAAGGCAGCAGCAGAGUCUUCCUUACCUGCUAGAUCCCCGGAGACCCUCACACAGAGAGUACACACAGUCCCCCUGUCAGUGGUGACGGGGCGAACUGGCACCAAGCGAUCUGCACGCUGGAAUCUCAAUCUUCUACCCUCAGACAGAUAGACCAGUGGACUGUGUACGUAGACAUGGUCGGUUCACCUGAAAUCAAGCAUCAACAGAAAGAAUGAUACAUGCGGGAUAAUUAAGAGUGAGAACGCUCCUCUAACCAGGAACGCCGGAGGCGCGACGGGCAGAACAGGGGGCCGUCAGUCGGAAGGAGCCGUCGCCUCAGCAACCC